UACUAGAGUAGCACUCGCAUAUCAAUAAGCGGAGGAAAAGAAACUAACAAGGAUUCCCCUAGUAACGGCGAGUGAAGCGGGAAGAGCUCAAAUUUGAAAUCUUCAAGGGUUUCCCUUGACGAAUUGUAGUUUAUAGAAGUGUUUUCUGUUAGAGAGGUGGUAAAAGUUCUUUGGAAUAGGACAUCAUAGAGGGUGAGAAUCCCGUAUUUGAUCACUUUCUACUAACGUUGUGAUACACUUUCAACGAGUCGGAUUGUUUGGGAAUGCAGUCCAAAAUGGGUGGUAAAUUUCAUCUAAAGCUAAAUAUUGGCGAGAGACCGAUAGCGAACAAGUACCGUGAGGGAAAGAUGAAAAGAACUUUGAAAAGAGAGUUAAACAGUACGUGAAAUUGUCAAAAGGGAAGCGUUUGACACCAGUGUUGUUUUUCCGAAAAUCAAUUAAGGAUGGCUGGAUUUUAAGUUUCAUGACCUUAAAAGCUUGUUGCUUAUUUUUCUGGUCUUUCUUAAUGCACUUUUCGGUUAACAAGUCAACAUCAAUUUCUUUUGUUGUAAAAGGUUAAGAGGAAGGUGGCUUUACUUUCGGGUAAAGUGUUUAUAGCCUUUUAACUCUGCAAUCGGAGAGAUUGAGGUCUGCAGCGUAGAUCCUUCGGGGCUAGAUACGUUUGUGCUAAGUUAUAGCUUUUCAUAGACAACUUGUUGACUAGUGUUAGUCUUGUAGCUUACUCGCUGACGCUAUUUUACCUACGCUUAGGAUGUUGAAGAUGUAGCACAUCAU
rnacentral:rRNA from 1 species